rnacentral:tmRNA from 1 species
CAUCUGGACGCAACGGCAUGCACACCCUAUAUUCAGUAGUGCGAGGGGCAACCCUAGCUAUGGCGAUAAACGGUGUGUGGAAUAAUCGUUGUGGACCCGGGGGCAGUGCCCGGCGUCUCCACCAAACGCCGGAGGCCGCGAGGCCGAGGGCCUCAUGGGGACGAAACAGGCUCGACACGCGUGGUAAAGACUAACUUUUUGCUCGGCAUGAUACCGCCGUCAUCGGGUCAUAUUACAAGUGCCAACGAUAACAAUCAGGCGCUCGCUGUCGCUGCAUAAGCGAUAAGCGCGGUUCGGGGGGGCACCGGGCAACAGAAGCCCCCUCACU